AGCGAACGCUGGCGGCAGGCCUAACACAUGCAAGUCGAACGGAUCCUUCGGGAUUAGUGGCGGACGGGUGAGUAACACGUGGGAACGUGCCCUUUGGUUCGGAACAACUCAGGGAAACUUGAGCUAAUACCGGAUGUGCCCUUCGGGGGAAAGAUUUAUCGCCAUUGGAGCGGCCCGCGUCUGAUUAGCUAGUUGGUGAGGUAAAGGCUCACCAAGGCGACGAUCAGUAGCUGGUCUGAGAGGAUGAUCAGCCACAUUGGGACUGAGACACGGCCCAAACUCCUACGGGAGGCAGCAGUGGGGAAUCUUGGGCAAUGGGCGAAAGCCUGACGCAGCCAUGCCGCGUGAAUGAUGAAGGUCUUAGGAUUGUAAAAUUCUUUCACCGGGGACGAUAAUGUCGGUACCCGGAGAAGAAGCCCCGGCUAACUUCGUGCCAGCCGCCGCAGUAA
rnacentral:rRNA from 1 species